UAUUCGGAAAAUAAACACAUUUCAUAACUUGAAAUUUUUCAAAAUCAACAAAAAUACUUAAUUUGCUAUUCGAAAAUUCUUUGGAUUUUGAAGCUUAGACCAUGUUGAAAAUUGUAAAAAUUCAAAGCUGGUCUAAUGUCAAAUUUCAUAAUUUUGUGUUUGGAAGAAAGUGCGGAGGUGCGUGGUUCAGCAAGAAAAGCCGGAAAAUAUACGGAAAAACAUCCCAAUAUUCGUUAAAAUACACGUUUUUGUGAAAAUUUCUCUGGAAGAAAGUGAAGAAAACUCUUCGGAAGGUAUGCCACCCGGAAGAAUUUAAUCCUUACGGGAGAGACUCGCGUGAUCUGUGAGGGAUUCACGGGCAGGGCAAGCACGACAGCUUGCAUAGCAAGCAGGCCAUUGAGUAUGGGGCGAAGAUGUUUGGCGGAGUGUCGCCAGGAAAAGGAGGAAAGACUCAUCUAAAUCUUCCCAUCUUCAAUACGAUGAAGGAAGCAAAAGAGGCAACAAAUUGCGAAGCAACAGUACCUAAUCUAUAUGCCACCCCCGCAUGCCUUAAAGGCAAUUUUUGAAGCUCUCGAAGCUGAAAUUUCGCUGAUAGUCUACAUUAAGGAGGGUAUCCCGCGGCAGGACAUGGUACGCGAGAAGCAUUCCCUUCUGCGGCAGGAUAAGUCACGACUUGUGGAACCCAAUUGUCCAGGGAUUUGCCCCUGAUCGCUACAAGAUUGGUAUUAUGCUGGGGAACAUCCAAUUGUAACGGUUGUACCACAUUCCGGAACAAUCAGAGCUCCAAUUUAAAGAUUAAUCAUGUUAAAAAUUAUUUUAAAAAUAAAUUAAUUGAUUAUCGA